rnacentral:rRNA from 1 species
CUUGGUCAUUUAGAGGAAGUAAAAGUCGUAACAAGGUUUCCGUAGGUGAACCUGCGGAAGGAUCAUUAGUGAAUUGAAUAUGUUAGCGGACCUCUUCGGAGUCCCUAGCAUCAAAUCAUAUCCAUAACACCUGUGAACUGUAAGGCUGUCUUGAAAACGAAAGUGAUUAGAGCGCCUGCCCAUUUUAUACAAACAUUAAAGUAACAAACGUAGUCUUAUUAUAAUCUAAUAAAACUUUCAACAACGGAUCUCUUGGCUCUCGCAUCGAUGAAGAACGCAGCGAAACGCGAUAAGUAAUGUGAAUUGCAGAAUUCAGUGAAUCAUCGAAUCUUUGAACGCACCUUGCGCUCUUUGGUAUUCCGAAGAGCAUGCCUGUUUGAGUGUCAUGAAAAUAUCAACCUUGACUUGGGUUUAGUGCUCUUGUCUUGGCUUGGAUUUGGCUGUUUGCCGCUCGAAAGAGUCGGCUCAGCUUAAAAGUAUUAGCUGGAUCUGUCUUUGAGACUUGGUUUGACUUGGCGUAAUAAGUUAUUUCGCUGAGGACAAUCUUCGGAUUGGCCGAGUUUCUGGGACGUUUGUCCGCUUUCUAAUACAAGUUCUAGCUUGCUAGACAUGACUUUUUUAUUAUCUGGCCUCAAAUCAGGUAGGACUACCCGCUGAACUUAAGCAUAUCAAUAAGCGGAGGA